rnacentral:lncRNA from 1 species
CAUGCGAGCUAGCACUCCCGGGAGGAUCGAUCAGCAUUAAAUCUUCGAGUGGAUGAUUCAUAGAGGCCGGACACCCUAUGUGGCAGUGAGCAAUCAGGAAGAACUCUUUACCAUGAUUAUCAGUAGUGAUGAUCAUCGACCCACACUCUAAUAAAAGAUCUGAUCUCAGUAGAUGAGAUCUACUCAUAUGGUAUGCCUAUCG